rnacentral:rRNA from 1 species
CCUACGGGGUGCAGCAGUGAGGAAUAUUGGUCAAUGGACGCAAGUCUGAACCAGCCAUGCCGCGUGCAGGAAGACGGCUCUAUGAGUUGUAAACUGCUUUUGUACGAGGGUAAACGCAGAUACGCGUAUCUGUCUGAAAGUAUCGUACGAAUAAGGAUCGGCUAACUCCGUGCCAGCCGCCGCGGUAAUACGGAGGAUUCAAGCGUUAUCCGGAUUUAUUGGGUUUAAAGGGUGCGUCGGCGGUCGGAUAAGUUAGAGGUGAAAUCCCGAGGCUCAACUUCGGAAUUGCCUCUGAUACUGUUCGGCUAGAGAGUAGUUGCGGUAGGCGGAAUGUAUGGUGUAGCGGUGAGAUGCUUAGAGAUCAUACAGAACACCGAUUGCGAAGGCAGCUUACCAAGCUACUUCUGACGUUGAGGCACGAAAGCGUGGGGAGCAAACAGGAUUAGAUACCCUUGUAGUC